rnacentral:rRNA from 1 species
CGAAGGGAAACCGAGUCUUAACUGGGCGUUAAGUUGCAGGGUAUAGACCCGAAACCCGGUGAUCUAGCCAUGGGCAGGUUGAAGGUUGGGUAACACUAACUGGAGGACCGAACCGACUAAUGUUGAAAAAUUAGCGGAUGACUUGUGGCUGGGGGUGAAAGGCCAAUCAAACCGGGAGAUAGCUGGUUCUCCCCGAAAGCUAUUUAGGUAGCGCCUCGUGAAUUCAUCUCCGGGGGUAGAGCACUGUUUCGGCAAGGGGGUCAUCCCGACUUACCAACCCGAUGCAAACUGCGAAUACCGGAGAAUGUUAUCACGGGAGACACACGGCGGGUGCUAACGUCCGUCGUGAAGAGGGAAACAACCCAGACCGCCAGCUAAGGUCCCAAAGUCAUGGUUAAGUGGGAAACGAUGUGGGAAGGCCCAGACAGCCAGGAUGUUGGCUUAGAAGCAGCCAUCAUUUAAAGAAAGCGUAAUAGCUCACUGGUCGAGUCGGCCUGCGCGGAAGAUGUAACGGGGCUAAACCAUGCACCGAAGCUGCGGCAGCGACGCUGAUGCGUUGUUGGGUAGGGGAGCGUUCUGUAAGCCUGCGAAGGUGUGCUGUGAGGCAUGCUGGAGGUAUCAGAAGUGCGAAUGCUGACAUAAGUAACGAUAAAGCGGGUGAAAAGCCCGCUCGCCGGAAGACCAAGGGUUCCUGUCCAACGUUAAUCGGGGCAGGGUGAGUCGACCCCUAAGGCGAGGCCGAAAGGCGUAGUCGAUGGGAAACAGGUUAAUAUUCCUGUACUUGGUGUUACUGCGAAGGGGGGACGGAGAAGGCUAUGUUGGCCGGGCGACGGUUGUCCCGGUUUAAGCGUGUAGGCUGGUUUUCCAGGCAAAUCCGGAAAAUCAAGGCUGAGGCGUGAUGACGAGGCACUGCGGUGCUGAAGCAACAAAUGCCCUGCUUCCAGGAAAAGCCUCUAAGCAUCAGGUAACAUCAAAUCGUACCCCAAACCGACACAGGUGGUCAGGUAGAGAAUACCAAGGCGCUUGAGAGAACUCGGGUGAAGGAACUAGGCAAAAUGGUGCCGUAACUUCGGGAGAAGGCACGCUGAUAUGUAGGUGAAGUCCCUCGCGGAUGGAGCUGAAAUCAGUCGAAGAUACCAGCUGGCUGCAACUGUUUAUUAAAAACACAGCACUGUGCAAACACGAAAGUGGACGUAUACGGUGUGACGCCUGCCCGGUGCCGGAAGGUUAAUUGAUGGGGUUAGCGCAAGCGAAGCUCUUGAUCGAAGCCCCGGUAAACGGCGGCCGUAACUAUAACGGUCCUAAGGUAGCGAAAUUCCUUGUCGGGUAAGUUCCGACCUGCACGAAUGGCGUAAUGAUGGCCAGGCUGUCUCCACCCGAGACUCAGUGAAAUUGAACUCGCUGUGAAGAUGCAGUGUACCCGCGGCAAGACGGA